GUUAAUUGAUUAUGACGUGCUUGCACUGAAUGAGAUUUUAACACGAAGUGAGUGGCGGACGGGUGAGUAACACGUGGGUAACCUGCCCAGAAGCAGGGGAUAACACCUGGAAACAGAUGCUAAUACCGUAUAACAGAGAAAACCGCCUGGUUUUCUUUUAAAAGAUGGCUCUGCUAUCACUUCUGGAUGGACCCGCGGCGCAUUAGCUAGUUGGUGAGGUAACGGCUCACCAAGGCGAUGAUGCGUAGCCGACCUGAGAGGGUAAUCGGCCACAUUGGGACUGAGACACGGCCCAGACUCCUACGGGAGGCAGCAGUAGGGAAUCUUCCACAAUGGACGCAAGUCUGAUGGAGCAACGCCGCGUGAGUGAAGAAGGGUUUCGGCUCGUAAAGCUCUGUUGUUAAAGAAGAACGUGGGUGAGAGUAACUGUUCACCCAGUGACGGUAUUUAACCAGAAAGCCACGGCUAACUACGUGCCAGCAGCCGCGGUAAUACGUAGGUGGCAAGCGUUAUCCGGAUUUAUUGGGCGUAAAGCGAGCGCAGGCGGUCUUUUAAGUCUAAUGUGAAAGCCUUCGGCUCAACCGAAGAAGUGCAUUGGAAACUGGGAGACUUGAGUGCAGAAGAGGACAGUGGAACUCCAUGUGUAGCGGUGAAAUGCGUAGAUAUAUGGAAGAACACCAGUGGCGAAGGCGGCUGUCUGGUCUGUAACUGACGCUGAGGCUCGAAAGCAUGGGUAGCGAACAGGAUUAGAUACCCUGGUAGUCCAUGCCGUAAACGAUGAUUACUAAGUGUUGGAGGGUUUCCGCCCUUCAGUGCUGCAGCUAACGCAUUAAGUAAUCCGCCUGGGGAGUACGACCGCAAGGUUGAAACUCAAAAGAAUUGACGGGGGCCCGCACAAGCGGUGGAGCAUGUGGUUUAAUUCGAAGCUACGCGAAGAACCUUACCAGGUCUUGACAUCUUCUGCCAACCUAAGAGAUUAGGCGUUCCCUUCGGGGACAGAAUGACAGGUGGUGCAUGGUUGUCGUCAGCUCGUGUCGUGAGAUGUUGGGUUAAGUCCCGCAACGAGCGCAACCCUUAUUACUAGUUGCCAGCAUUCAGUUGGGCACUCUAGUGAGACUGCCGGUGACAAACCGGAGGAAGGUGGGGACGACGUCAAAUCAUCAUGCCCCUUAUGACCUGGGCUACACACGUGCUACAAUGGAUGGUACAACGAGUCGCGAAACCGCGAGGUUUAGCUAAUCUCUUAAAACCAUUCUCAGUUCGGACUGUAGGCUGCAACUCGCCUACACGAAGUCGGAAUCGCUAGUAAUCGCGGAUCAGCAUGCCGCGGUGAAUACGUUCCCGGGCCUUGUACACACCGCCCGUCACACCAUGAGAGUUUGUAACACCCAAAGCCGGUGGGGUANCCUUUUAGGAGCUAGC
rnacentral:rRNA from 1 species